AUUGAACGCUGGCGGCAUGCUUUACACAUGCAAGUCGGACGGCAGCACAGAGAAGCUUGCUUCUUGGGUGGCGAGUGGCGAACGGGUGAGUAAUAUAUCGGAACGUACCGAGUAAUGGGGGAUAACUAAUCGAAAGAUUAGCUAAUACCGCAUAUUCUCUGAGGAGGAAAGCAGGGGACCUUCGGGCCUUGCGUUAUUCGAGCGGCCGAUAUCUGAUUAGCUAGUUGGUGGGGUAAAGGCCUACCAAGGCGACGAUCAGUAGCGGGUCUGAGAGGAUGAUCCGCCACACUGGGACUGAGACACGGCCCAGACUCCUACGGGAGGCAGCAGUGGGGAAUUUUGGACAAUGGGCGAAAGCCUGAUCCAGCCAUGCCGCGUGUCUGAAGAAGGCCUUCGGGUUGUAAAGGACUUUUGUCAGGGAAGAAAAGGCUGUUGCUAAUACCGACAGCUGAUGACGGUACCUGAAGAAUAAGCACCGGCUAACUACGUG
rnacentral:rRNA from 1 species